AUAAUUUUCCAAUCUAAUUUUGUCAACAAAAAAUUACACUCAUUUACACUAACACAGUACACACACCUAAAGGCAGCAGCAGCCAACCCCUCUCUCUCUCUCUCUCUCUCUCUCUCUCUCUCUCUCUCUCUCUCUCCACCAUCCCUAACCCAAAACACAGCAGCCCCUUCGCACUCCUUCCGAUUCCAGGCGCAGCCACUGUAAGCGCCUAUUAUAAUCUCGGCCUCGCCUCCAACCACCAGUCGCAGCCACCAUUCCUCACUCUUAGGCAAAAAAAAUUUAAAGUCAAGGAAGUAGGAAAAGAGAAGAGCAAGAUAACUAUUGCUGCUAUUGAAGAUUAAAUAAGUGAUGGAAUAAUGUGAAAACUUCUUUGUUUUUGUUCUUAUCAAUGGUGGAGAGCAGCUACAUUGGAGGUAAGCAAUCUUAAAAUUUUCCUUGAUGGAUGCCUCUCACAGACAUGAAGAGGCUCACUAUAUUUUCGGUCCACUGUUCCCGAAUCUUUUCUCUUCAGCCUUGCUUAAGUUUUGGAUUUUAUUUCUCUCCUUUAUUCUCAUUGAGAAGAAACUUGAGCCAAGUACUCUCAGUAAUCUCAACAAAUACCAGACCUUUCCCUGAUUAUUCACCUAAGAAACCUACUAUCAGAGAUGCUGAACUUGUUCAUCAUAUUACUACCACAAUAAAGCUGCGUCGCUCUGAGCCUUUGCGUCGCAUCUUGAAGUCUUGUGAAUCUAAGUUCAGGUCUGACCAUCUAAUUUGGAUUCUUAUGAACAUUAGGAAUGAUUAUAAUUUAGUUUUGGAUCUAUUUGAUUGGGCAUGUCUUCGUAGACAAUCAACACUAGAGGCUCGUUGCAUUGUUGCUCAAAUUGCCACAGCAUCAAAAGAUCUUAAAAUGGCACAUGGGGUUAUUAUUGAUUUUUGGAGAAAACCCAAUUUGGAUAUUAGUCUUUCAUUCAUUCAUUUUUCCGAUAGAUUAAUAUACACAUACAAAGAUUGGGGUUCAGAUCCAUAUGUAUUUGAUAUUUUUUUCCAAGUGCUUGUCGAAAUUGGGAUGCUCAAUGAAGCGAGAAAACUUUUCAUGAAAUUGUUGAAUUAUGGAUUGGUUAUAUCUGUUGAUUCUUGUAAUUUAUUUCUUACUCGUCUAUCAAACAAUCUUGAUGGAAUUGAGAUGGCAAUAAAAGUUUUCAAUGAAUAUCCUCAAGUGGGUAUUUGCUGGAAUACUGCAUCAUAUAAUAUCAUUAUUAAUUCACUUUGUGAAUUAGGAAAAAUCAAAGAAGCCCACCAUCUACUCUUGCAGAUGGAGUUGAGAGGCUGUGUACCUGAUGUUGUAAGUUAUAGUACUAUAAUUAGCAGAUACUGUUCUGUUGGUGACCUACAGAAGGUGUUGAAGCUCGUUGAAGAAAUGAAAAUAAAAAGUGUCCAACCAAACUUGUAUACCUACAGCAGCAUUGUACUUCUUUUGUGUAAGAGUGGAAAACUCUCUGAAGCCGAGAAGGUCUUGAGGGAAAUAAUGUCGCAGGGAAUCAUUCCUGAUAAUGUGAUAUACACUACCUUAAUAGAUGGUUUCUGCAAGUCAGGCAAUGUUUCAGCUGCAUGCAGGUUGUUCGAGGAAAUGCAGAUUAGGGAAAUUUAUCCUGAUUCUGUAGCAUAUACAGCUAUCAUAGAUGGAUUUUGUCAAGCUGGAAAGAUGAUGGAAGCCGAUAAGCUUUUUAAUGAAAUGGUUAUUAGAGGGUUGGAACCAGAUGAAUUUUCUUAUACAGCGCUUAUCCAUGGUUAUUGCAAAGUAAGUGAGAUUAAAAGAGCUUUCGGUCUUCACAAUGAGAUGGUCAAAAUGGGACUUAAGCCAAACAUUGUCACGUACACUGCACUGGCUGAUGGCCUUUGUAAACAAGGAGAGGUAGAUACUGCAAAUGAACUACUCCAAGAAAUGUCCAUGAAAGGUCUUCAACUGAAUGUCUGCACUUACAACUCAAUUCUUAAUGGACUUUGUAAAUCAGGAAACAUAGUAGAUGCAGAGAAAUUAAUGGAAGAAUUAAAGGUGGCUGGGCCACAUCCUGAUGCAUUUACUUAUACUACUCUCAUGGAUGCAUAUUGCAAGACAGGGAAGAUGUCUAAAGCCCACAUGCUCUUGCAAGAGAUGUUGGAUAGUGGGAUUCAACCUACUGUUGUUACAUUCAAUGUGCUAAUGAAUGGCUUUUGCAUGUCUGGAAUGUUGGAAGAUGGUAAUAAACUAAUUAAAUGGAUGUUGGAUAAGGGUAUAAUGCCUAAUGCCACAACCUAUAAUUCUCUUAUGAAGCAGUACGCCAGCAGAAAUAACAUGAGUUACACAACUGAGAUUUAUAGGAACAUGUGUGCACAAGGAGUGAUGCCCGAUAGCAAUACCUAUAACAUUUUAAUAAAGGGACAUUGUAAAGCAAGGAAUAUGAAAGAGGCUGAGUUUUUGAGAAGGGAAAUGAUUGAGAAGGGUUUUCUUCUUACAGCGAGUUCAUACACUGCUUUAAUAAAGGGUUUUCAAAAGAGAAAGAAAAUUGAAGAGGCAAGGAAACUAUUUGAAGAAAUGAGGAGGCAAGGUUUGGUUGCAGAUAGAGAAAUAUAUGAAAUUUUUGUUGAUAUGAACUAUAAAGAAGGAAACAUGGAUGUAACUCUUGAACUUUGUGAUGAAAUGAUCGAGAAUUAUAUAGUGGAUAGGACCAAGAACAGCAGGACCUAGAUUGAUUUGUCUAUUGUGACGUUUGAGCUUUCCUUCUGUAUUUACUAUCUGUCGAUAUGAAUUAGCUCGCAUCUAGGCCUAUGGCACUGGCCAAAAUCUAUUGAAAAGCAUGGAAGAUCAUCAUAUGCCAUAUUUCAUGGAAGAGUAUGUAAGUCUGAGCCUUGAACGGCUACAUGUUCAGGGCACAAGAAGUACCCUUGAAAUCUCAGAAACUCUUGUUUUUUGAAAAGGAAGACAAUUAUCUUUCUGCAUCACUAUCAACAUAAGACAUUAUCAUAGAAGGAAAGUUGGUGAGGUUGGAGGAUGUGUCAAAGUGGGCAAGAACAUCCAGUUAACAGCCCAAAAUGGCAAAAAGCAACAUAGUCAUCAAGCGGAAAUCUUAGAGCAAGAGCAGAUGGGUGUCACUAAUGCUUUGAUUAAAUGGUAUAUUAUAGUUUGCUAAAAAUAGCCACGAGAUAAUGCAGCAGACCUAAGAUGAAAGAUAUAUUAGUUUAGUCAAAAGAAACGUUGUCCUCAUGCCUAAGAUGAAAUAUGCCUUCAUAAAUAGGUUAGCCACAGUUUUCACCCUUGGUAAUUUAUAUCCAUCUCUUCAUAUUGUUUCUGUGUUAUUAACCUUCUUAGGAGUAAGUUGAGAUUGAGAAUCAACUUUCUCAGGAAACAACAUGAAGUAUGUUUGAGUUUCAAGUACCUCUCUUCUAUCUGCACAAAUGAAGUAGAGAGUCUUUGUGAAAUAAAGCUACAAAAAUGCCAUGGAUUUCUUCAUCACAGAGCCCAUAUUUCUGGCUGUAAUUCUUCUGACUAGGGAUUACUUUAGGAAAAUCCAAGGGUCAUUUUCAAGCUAUUGCCCAUCAUGACAUACAAGUUACCAUCUCUGGGUCUUAACAGUAUUUAUCAAAAUUAGUUAGGAUAAGAGGUUGGUUAGUUGGUAGUUAGGAGGUUUUGUAUGAGCUAUUAUAUAUUUAGUUGGGAAUGUUGUUAAUCUAUUGUAACUAACUCUAAGCUACUGUAUGUAGCUGCAUUUUAUUGUAAUUCUAUUUUGAUUGAUUCAAUACAAAAUAUAGAAUUCUUUCUCUA